AUAUAGAUGAUGAAAUGCCAUAGUCCUGGUCCAGGUAACUAGGAAGUGCCAUUUGGUUUGUCUCUCCAAUCAGAAAUUCCCUUUAUUUCAUUGUCCUGCACCCCACCCAACAAAUAAACCCAUUGCAAGAUUUUGGGUAAAUUAACAAACUUGUCAGAUGGAAAAGCUAACCAAAUAGAUCCAUUAAAUUGGUCAGAUUCUCCUGUGUUGUUGACAAAGGAGGGCUGAUUUUCUACGGACUGCUAACAAACUCCUCAUAAAAAAAUCUACAAUUUUAUAUGUCCCUAUAUUUGAAGAAUGGAGCCCAAAUUGUUGCUACGGCUUCACUGCAAAAUCUGUAAUAUGACAAAUUCUAUAACUAGUCACAUAUGAAAAUUUUGCUGAGCAAUGUUUUUAUCCACCAGGCGGGUUGUGUUUUCCAUACAUUGUAGAACUAUUCUGAAUAAUUUGGCCUUCUGUAAAUAGGGGUAAAAAAUGAGGUCUGCAGAUGCUGGAGAUCACGGCUGAAAAUGUGUUGCUGGUUAAAGCACAGCAGAUUAGGCAGCAUCCAAGGAAUAGGAAAUUCGACGUUUCGGGCAUAAGCCCUUCUGUAAAUAGGCCAAUUUUUGAAUCAAUUAUUUUUCUGUUUAUAGCAGUUGAUGGCAUUUGGGACAAUUAAAUUUUACACAAAUCAACCGUUUCUUUUCACUAUCAUGAAUAUACAAGUUAGCCUAAUAUACAAGUAAAAAAGAGUUUUGUUGAAGAUUUGGGGUGUGGGAGAAAUAUGCUAAUAUUACUUGGGGGCGCUGGGUAAAAAUGGAGGCCAAUGGAAGCCUCAGAGAAUGAAAAUCAUUUAAAGGAUUUAAAAUAUUAAUAAGCAGAAUAUUUAUUUCAGCCAGAAGUCUUUCUGAAACUAAUUAUAUUAAGUGGGCAUUCUUUUUGUGUAAUUUAAGAAAAACAUGGUGUAAAUCCUAUUUUUGGUAGCCCAAACAGCAGUGUUUGAUUAUCAAUGACAAAUGAUGAGUAAACAAUCUAGGUAAGUGGCCAAGUUUCAAGUCUUGAGCAAUAUAGAAUUUUACUUAAAUGGCUUCAAUCUGGAGAAAUUUUGAAUUAGCACUACAGUGAAACUGAUCACUUGAAACUUGUAAUUUUCAUUAUUUAAAUCUCUGAAAUUUAAUUUCAUAGUUUCUACCU